GGCGGCUGCUUUACACAUGCAAGUCGAACGGCAGCAUGACCUAGCUUGCUAGGUUGAUGGCGAGUGGCGAACGGGUGAGUAAUGCACCGGAACGUACCCAGUAAUGGGGGAUAACGCACCGAAAGGUGUGCUAAUACCGCAUACGCCCUGAGGGGGAAAGCGGGGGAUCGUAAGACCUCGCGUUAUUGGAGCGGCCGAUGCCGGAUUAGCUAGUUGGUGGGGUAAAGGCCUACCAAGGCGACGAUCCGUAGCUGGUCUGAGAGGACGACCAGCCACACUGGGACUGAGACACGGCCCAGACUCCUACGGGAGGCAGCAGUGGGGAAUUUUGGACAAUGGGCGCAAGCCUGAUCCAGCCACGCCGCGUGAGUGAAGAAGGCCUUCGGGUUGUAAAGCUCUUUCGCAAGGAAAGAAAACUUAGCUACUAAUACUAGCUGAGGAUGACGGUACCUUGAUAAGAAGCACCGGCUAACUACGUGCCAGCAGCCGCGGUAAUACGUAGGGUGCGAGCGUUAAUCGGAAUUACUGGGCGUAAAGCGUGCGCAGGCGGUUCGAUAAGUCUGAUGUGAAAUCCCCGGGCUCAACCUGGGAACUGCGUUGGAAACUGUCGAGCUAGAGUGUAGAAGAGGGGGG
rnacentral:rRNA from 1 species